ensembl:lncRNA
GAAACAAACGCAUGCUUUGGGCAGCCUGCCUGGUCUUUUCCGAAGCUCCUCCCCGGAGACCUUGUAUCCCUGUAAGAUCGCCAGCUCUGAUGACCUUCCAUACGGUUGCCCUGCGGUUUGCUAACGCCGGGUGUGUUUACAUUGCUGCAUUUCCCGUCCAGGGUCCUCAGACUCCAGGGCCUCUGACAGGACCCCACCUCUGACAGCUGCUUUGCAGCGGUGAAAGGAAGCACCACCGCCCGAGGUUAAUCGGCGCAGAGAGGCAGAUUCUUCACAGUCUGAGCCACCCAGGAAGUUGGAGCGUCCAUUAAUGUAUGCAGUUCUCGGAGCGGCAAAAAGUUGGACACAACUUAGCCACUGAACCACAAAAUUAAUGAGUUCCUGGGUGGGGAAGAUCCCCCUGGAGGAGGACAAAGUAACCCACUGCAGUCUUCUUGCCUGGAGAAUCCCACGGACAGAGGAGCCUGAUGGGCUACAGAGUCAGACACGACUGAGUGAUUAAACCACAACAGACCUUGCUGGGUCACCUUCGUUUGGGAGGAAACGGAAGAUGCUUCAGAG